AAUCAACGCUGGCGGCGCGCUUAACACAUGCAAGUCGAACGAGAAAGCAGGGGCAACCCUGCGAGUGCAGUAGCGUACGGGUGAGUAACACGUGGGUAAUCUACCUCUGGGUGGGGAAUAACGCUGGGAAACCGGCGCUAAUACCGCAUAAGCUCGAGAGAGGAAAGGUGCAAACCGCCGAGAGAGGAGCGCGCGGCCGAUUAGCCAGUUGGUGAGGUAAGAGCUCACCAAAGCGAAGAUCGGUAGCCGGCCUGAGAGGGCACACGGCCACACUGGCACUGAAACACGGGCCAGACUCCUACGGGAGGCAGCAGUGGGGAACCUUGCACAAUGGGGGAAACCCUGAUGCAGCGACGCCGCGUGAGCGAUGAAGCCCUUCGGGGUGUAAAGCUCUUUCGGCAGGGACGAUGAUGACGGUACCUGCAGAAGCAGCUGCGGCUAACUACGUGCCAGCCGCCGCCGUAACAC
rnacentral:rRNA from 1 species